GCGGAAGACGGAAGAGGGAGUGAGAUGACAGGUGAGCCUGGCUUCCUUCUGUGUCCCCUCCUCCCCCGUUUUUAUAUUGUCAUAGGGAGAGACUCAAGAGCAGGGUCUGGAGAGGAGAUGGAAUCGGGCCCUGGAGAACCACAUGUCUGACUGACAGAGACAUAGGGAAAGAACUUGACAACUUCAUUAGCAAAGGGAAAAGCAGAGUCUGGGCAGAAGGAGGCUUGGUUCUCACAGAACACCUUCAGAUCCUUAACAGGUCCAAAAAAUAUUGGCAGGCGAGGGCAUCCUAGGAUAAAGCUGUAGGAAGGCCCGGCUUUGCUUUCAUGAAAAAUGCAAAUGAAAGCCACAGGAAGGUCGAGUAGAAACGAGUUAGCAGAGGGCUGAGUCCACAGCUCCGUAGGAAAUGGCGCUGGUUGAGCAAGCACAAGGACCUGUGUUCAAAUAUCUAGAACCUACAUUAAACAGAAGGCGUUUCUGGAUGCUGGGGACGUGGAGAAUGGCCUGACCUGUUCCCAGGAGAGGAAUGACCUUGUCCAUCAGGACCUUGUCCAUCAGCAAGUCUCCUGCACCUAGAAACUGCCCCAAUAGGAGACAGAGCCCCGUGUACGUUCGUUAUUUGAUGAAAAAAAUAAUCAGAAAUGGUGCUGCGGAACUGGUACGUCUGUGCCGUUAGCACAGAUGCUAACGGCAACAUCAAUAUUUGAACCAGGAGCUGGCCCUAUAAUUAAUUGGCACCUAAUGUGGGUGACACU
rnacentral:lncRNA from 1 species